UACAGAGGGUGCAAGCGUUGUUCGGAAUUACUGGGCGUAAAGCGCGUGUAGGUGGCUGCGUAAGUCGGAUGUGAAAUCCCUCGGCUUAACCGAGGAAGUGCAUUCGAUACUGCGUAGCUUGAGUGUUGGAGGGGAUGGCGGAAUUCCCGGUGUAGAGGUGAAAUUCGUAGAUAUCGGGAGGAACACCUGUGGCGAAGGCGGCCAUCUGGACAACUACUGACACUGAGACGCGAAAGCGUGGGUAGCAAACAGG
rnacentral:rRNA from 1 species